rnacentral:rRNA from 1 species
GAUGAACGCUGGCGGCGUGCCUAAUACAUGCAAGUCGAGCGAACGGACGAGAAGCUUGCUUCUCUGAUGUUAGCGGCGGACGGGUGAGUAACACGUGGAUAACCUACCUAUAAGACUGGGAUAACUUCGGGAAACCGGAGCUAAUACCGGAUGAUAUUUUGAACCGCAUGGUUCAAAAGUGAAAGACGGUCUUGCUGUCACUUAUAGAUGGAUCCGCGCUGCAUUAGCUAGUUGGUAAGGUAACGGCUUACCAAGGCAACGAUGCAUAGCCGACCUGAGAGGGUGAUCGGACACACUGGAAAUGAGAAACGGUCAAGACUCCUAAGGGAGGCAGCAGUAGGGAAUCUUCCGCAAUGGGCGAAAGCCUGACGGAGCAACGCCGCGUGAGUGAUGAAGGUCUUCGGAUCGUAAAACUCUGUUAUUAGGGAAGAACAUAUGUGUAAGUAACUGUGCACAUCUUGACGGUACCUAAUCAGAAAGCCACGGCUAACUACGUG